GCCAUGGCCGCUGAGCCUGCGCGUCCGGAGCCUGUGCUCCGCAACGGGAGAGGCCACAACAGUGAGAGGCCCGCGUACUGCAAAAAAAACCUUUUCCUUGCACGGUGCCUCUCUGGAAGCAACAUGUUUUGCAUAACCAAGUCAUACCAAGGCCCCCUAACUCCUAGUUCCUGCCCCUAAGCGCCGCCCUGCCGCCCCCACAAGAUAAUCAACACAGCUGAAGGAAUGAAAGUUCUGGGAGAACACAAUGAAUCAGAAGAGGGAAUCAAAUACAGAAAGCUUCUCACAGUCUCUGCUCUCUGAGAAGUCUCCAUUCCGGUCAUCCUUCAGAGUCUUCAGGAACUCGCUCUUCCUGUCAGUAGUUCGGCGGGUCAACUUGGUCAGACGAGAGGAGCUGAUCUCAAUUGGAGGAGUGGUGCUGGCGGGGCUCUGGGCAAAUACCACAAAUAGGUUGCUCUUGACAGCAAAGAGUAAGUACUGGGAUUCUCUAGGUCACUUCUACAAGGUACUGCUUUCCAGAAUCUGGUAGCCUAUUUAUCACUCUUUUACCAAAAAUAAACUAUCCUUUUCAUUUAAACAGA